GCGAGUUCAAAUAUUCCGACAACAUAAUGCCAUAUCCAUUCACACAUCUAUUCUAAUAUCGUCGGAUUCCAUCCAAUUACCUUAUCAAAUGAAAAUAAAUAAAUAAAUAAAAUAAAAAUAAAAAACCCAAUUCCCUAAUUAGAGUAGCCGAUAUGAAAUUUUAUUUAUACUUCUCCUACGAAUAUUACAAAGAGUCUCGCCCGACAACAGAAUUCUUGACACUAUUUUGCAAAUGAAGUCUACCAUAAAGGGUCCAUGAGCAGUAGUUAAAAGAAACAUUACAUAGCACAUAAACAGUUUUAAAGUUGGAACAAAUCAGCCUGUGAUUGAGGUUUUCUAAUCACAACUACACUGCAUUCCUCCUUCCAAACCCCUGAGCCCUCUGGACUCUGCUCUUACGAAACUGCGAUAUGAAACAACAUGAAUUAGUAUGUCAAUGAUUAAUCUUCUUUAACAAAAUGCCCUUCAUAAGAUUUAUUUCAGGCCGUCAACGAAAAAGGUGAGCAGUGGUGACUUCAGCCACCGAAGCAAACUAGUAUUCAAGAUUUCCGGUCCUGAGGCGUGUAAGAAGUCUCUAGGGUUUAAGAAGAGAAAACAGAUUAAAAAAUAUAUAAAAAAGGGAUAAUUACAUCAAAAACCUCAAACAUUCGAAAUAUUAGCAGACUUUUCCCAAGCCUUUCAUUUGUUGCAGCCGUCACCCCUAAUCUUUUCAAGCGUUGCAUGUGAAGCCCUUUUGGAUGGUUUCCAUAAAAAAUUCCGUCAGUUGACUAUAAAAAAACCUUUGAACAUCUUUUAAUCAAUUUUAAAAGGGUAAAAUGGUAACUUUCUAUCCACUGCAUUAAACAAUUAAAAAACUUAAAUCAAAAACCAAAAAACAAAAGAAAAGAAAAUUGGAUCUUCUUCUUCUCAAUGCCACCCACUCCAC
rnacentral:lncRNA from 1 species